UCCGGCUUAACGCCGGCAGUCUCCCUAGAGUGCCCAACAGAAUGGUGACAACUAAGGACGAGGGUUGCGCUCGUUGCGGGACUUAACCCAACACCUCACGGCACGAGCUGACGACAGCCAUGCACCACCUGUGAUGGUGUCCCGAAGGAAAACCGUGUUUCCACGGCGGUCACCAACAUGUCAAGACCAGGUAAGGUUCUUCGCGUUGCAUCGAAUUAAACCACAUACUCCACCGCUUGUGCGGGCCCCCGUCAAUUCCUUUGAGUUUCAGUCUUGCGACCGUACUCCCCAGGCGGCGAACUUAACGCGUUAGCUUCGAUACUGGGCACCAAGUUGUGCCCAACAUCCAGUUCGCAUCGUUUAGGGCGUGGACUAC
rnacentral:misc_RNA from 1 species